rnacentral:rRNA from 2 species
GAAGGUGGCCUGUGAGGGUUGCUGGAGGUAUCAGAAGUGCGAAUGCUGACAUAAGUAACGAUAAAGCGGGUGAAAAGCCCGCUCGCCGGAAGACCAAGGGUUCCUGUCCAACGUUAAUCGGGGCAGGGUGAGUCGACCCCUAAGGCGAGGCCGAAAGGCGUAGUCGAUGGGAAACGGGUUAAUAUUCCCGUACUUGGUGUUACUGCGAAGGGGGGACGGAGAAGGCUAUGUUGGCCGGGCGACGGUUGUCCCGGUUUAAGCGUGUAGGUGUGUGUUCCAGGUAAAUCCGGUUCACUUUAACACUGAGGCGUGACGACGAGGCACUACGGUGCUGAAGCAACAAAUGCCCUGCUUCCAGGAAAAGCCUCUAAGCAUCAGGUAACAUCAAAUCGUACCCCAAACCGACACAGGUGGUCAGGUAGAGAAUACCAAGGCGCUUGAGAGAACUCGGGUGAAGGAACUAGGCAAAAUGGUGCCGUAACUUCGGGAGAAGGCACGCUGACAUGUAGGUGAAGUGAUUUACUCACGGAGCUGAAGUCAGUCGAAGAUACCAGCUGGCUGCAACUGUUUAUUAAAAACACAGCACUGUGCAAACACGAAAGUGGACGUAUACGGUGUGACGCCUGCCCGGUGCCGGAAGGUUAAUUGAUGGGGUCAGCGCAAGCGAAGCUCCUGAUCGAAGCCCCGGUAAACGGCGGCCGUAACUAUAACGGUCCUAAGGUAGCGAAAUUCCUUGUCGGGUAAGUUCCGACCUGCACGAAUGGCGUAAUGAUGGCCAGGCUGUCUCCACCCGAGACUCAGUGAAAUUGAACUCGCUGUGAAGAUGCAGUGUACCCGCGGCAAGACGGAAAGACCCCGUGAACCUUUACUAUAGCUUGACACUGAACAUUGAGCCUUGAUGUGUAGGAUAGGUGGGAGGCUUUGAAGUGUGGACGCCAGUCUGCAUGGAGCCGACCUUGAAAUACCACCCUUUAAUGUUUGAUGUUCUAACGUGGACCCGUAAUCCGGGUUGCGGACAGUGUCUGGUGGGUAGUUUGACUGGGGCGGUCUCCUCCUAAAGAGUAACGGAGGAGCACGAAGGUUGGCUAAUCCUGGUCGGACAUCAGGAGGUUAGUGCAAUGGCAUAAGCCAGCUUGACUGCGAGCGUGACGGCGCGAGCAGGUGCGAAAGCAGGUCAUAGUGAUCCGGUGGUUCUGAAUGGAAGGGCCAUCGCUCAACGGAUAAAAGGUACUCCGGGGAUAACAGGCUGAUACCGCCCAAGAGUUCAUAUCGACGGCGGUGUUUGGCACCUCGAUGUCGGCUCAUCACAUCCUGGGGCUGAAGUAGGUCCCAAGGGUAUGGCUGUUCGCCAUUUAAAGUGGUACGCGAGCUGGGUUUAGAACGUCGUGAGACAGUUCGGUCCCUAUCUGCCGUGGGCGCUGGAGAACUGAGGGGGGCUGCUCCUAGUACGAGAGGACCGGAGUGGACGCAUCACUGGUGUUCGGGUUGUCAUGCCAAUGGCACUGCCCGGUAGCUAAAUGCGGAAGAGAUAAGUGCUGAAAGCAUCUAAGCACGAAACUUGCCCCGAGAUGAGUUCUCCCUGAGACUUAGAGUCUCCUGAAGGAACGUUGAAGACGACGACGUUGAUAGGCCGGGUGUGUAAGCGCAGCGAUGCGUUGAGCUAACCGGUACUAAUGAACCGUGAGGCUUAACCUU